rnacentral:rRNA from 1 species
GAUGAACGCUGGCGGCGUGCCUAAUACAUGCAAGUCGAGCGAACAGACCAUGUUCUUUCUCCUCUGACGUUUGCGGCUGACGGGUGAGUAACACGUGUAUAACCUACCUAUUAUACUGGUAUCACUUCGUGAAACCUGAUCUUAUACCGGAUCAUCUAUUGUACCUCAUUGUUCAAUUGUUUAUGUCGGUUUUUCUGUCACUUAUCGAUGUAUCCGGGCCGCAUUAGCUAGUUGGUAAGGUAACGGCUUACCAAGGCAACGAUGCGUAUCCGACAUGAGAGGGUGAUCGGCCACACUGGAACUGAGACACGGUCCAGACUCCUACGGGAGGCAGCAGUAGGGAAUAUUCCGGAAAGGGCGAAAGCAUGACGGAGCAACGCCGCGUGAGUGAUGAAGGUCUUCGGAUCGUAAAACUCUGUUAUGAGGGAAGAAAAAAUGUGUAAGUAACUAUGCACGUAUUGACGGUAACUAAUCAGAAAGCCACGGCUAACUACGUG